GACGAACGCUGGCGGCGUGCUUAACACAUGCAAGUCGAACGGAAAGGCCCUGCUUUUGUGGGGUGCUCGAGGGGCGAACGGGGGAGUAACACGUGUGUAACCUGCCCUUGUCUUUGGGGGAACAUCAGGAAACUGGGGCUAAUACAGGAGAGGAUCUCCUGAAGCAUGGUGGGGGUUGGAAAGUUUCGGCGUUUGGGGAUGGACUCGCGGCUUAUCAGCUUGUUGGUGGGGUAGUGGCUUACCAAGGCUUUGACGGGUAGGCGGCCUGAGAGGGUGACCGGCCACCUUGGGACUGAGGUACGGCCCAGACUCCUACGGGAGGCAGCAGUGGGGAAUAUUGCCCAAUGGGCGGAAGCCUGAUGCAGCAACGCCGCGUGCGGGAUGACGGCCUUCGGGUUGUAAACCGCUUUCGCCUGUGACGAAGCGUGAGUGACGGUAAUGGGUAAAGAAGCACCGGCUAACUACGUG
rnacentral:rRNA from 1 species